rnacentral:rRNA from 1 species
GAUGAACGCUGGCGGCGUGCCUAAUACAUGCAAGUCGAGCGAAUGGAUUAAGAGCUUGCUCUUAUGAAGUUAGCGGCGGACGGGUGAGUAACACGUGGGUAACCUGCCCAUAAGACUGGGAUAACUCCGGGAAACCGGGGCUAAUACCGGAUAACAUUUUGAACCGCAUGGUUCGAAAUUGAAAGGCGGCUUCGGCUGUCACUUAUGGAUGGACCCGCGUCGCAUUAGCUAGUUGGUGAGGUAACGGCUCACCAAGGCAACGAUGCGUAGCCGGCCUGCGAGGGUGAUCGGCCACACUGGGACUGAGACACGGCCCAGACUCCUACGGGAGGCAGCAGUAGGGAAUCUUCCGCAAUGGACGAAAGUCUGACGGAGCAACGCCGCGUGAGUGAUGAAGGCUUUCGGGUCGUAAAACUCUGUUGUUAGGGAAGAACAAGUGCUAGUUGAAUAAGCUGACACCUUGACGGUACCUAACCAGAAAGCCACGGCUAACUACGUGCCAGCAGCCGCGGUAA